rnacentral:rRNA from 1 species
UACGUAGGGAGCAAGCGUUGUCCGGAAUCAUUGGGCGUAAAGCGCGCGUAGGUGGCCAUGUAAGUCCGCUGUGAAAGUCAAAGGCUCAACCUUUGAAAGCCGGUGGAUACUGCCGGGCUAGAGUCCGGAAGAGGCGAGUGGAACUCCUGGUGUAGCGGUGGAAUGCGCAGAUAUCAGGAAGAACACCAACGGCGAAGGCAGCUCGCUGGGACGGUACUGACGCUGGAGACGCGAAAGCGUGGGGGAGCGAACAGG